CACCACCGGCGGACGGCUCAGUAACACGUCGGUAACCUACCCUCGGGAGGGGGAUAACCCCGGGAAACUGGGGCUAAUUCCCCAUAGGCCUGAGGUACUGGAAGGUCCUCAGGCCGAAAGGGACUUAUGUCCGCCCGAGGAUGGGCCGGCGGCCGAUUAGGUAGUUGGUGGGGUAAUGGCCCACCAAGCCGAAGAUCGGUACGGGCUGUGAGAGCAGGAGCCCGGAGAUGGACACUGAGACACGGGUCCAGGCCCUACGGGGCGCAGCAGGCGCGAAACCUCCGCAAUGCGGGAAACCGCGACGGGGGGACCCCGAGUGCCGUGGCAACGCCACGGCUUUUCCGGAGUGUAAAAAGCUCCGGGAAUAAGGGCUGGGUAAGGCCGGUGGCAGCCGCCGCGGUAAUACCGGCGGCCCGAGUGGUGGCCGCUAUUAUUGGGCCUAAAGCGUCCGUAGCCGGGCCCGUAAGUCCCUGGCGAAAUCCCACGGCUCAACCGUGGGGCUUGCUGGGGAUACUGCGGGUCUUGGGACCGGGAGAGGCGGGGGGUACCCCUGGGGUAGGGGUGAAAUCCUAUAAUCCCAGGGGGACCGCCAGUGGCGAA
rnacentral:rRNA from 1 species